UGACCUCGGAUCAGGUAGGAUACCGCUGAACUUAAGCAUAUCAAUAAGCGGGAGGAAAAGAAACCAACCGGGAUUACCUAGUAACGGCGAGUGAAGCGGUAAGAGCUCAAAUUUGAAAGCUGGCCCCUUCGGGGUCCGCAUUGUAAUUUGCAGAGGAUGCUUCGGGAGCGGUCCCCAUCUAAGUGCCCUGGAACGGGCCGUCAUAGAGGGUGAGAAUCCCGUAUGGGAUGGGGUGCCCGCGCCCGUGUGAAGCUCCUUCGACGAGUCGAGUUGUUUGGGAAUGCAGCUCUAAUUGGGUGGUAAAUUUCAUCUAAAGCUAAAUAUUGGCCGGAGACCGAUAGCGCACAAGUAGAGUGAUCGAAAGAUGAAAAGCACUUUGAAAAGAGAGUUAAAAAGCACGUGAAAUUGUUGAAAGGGAAGCGCUUGCGAUCAGACUCGCUCGCGGGGUUCAGCCGGCCUUCGGGCCGGUGUACUUCCCCGCGGGCGGGCCAGCGUCGGUUUGGGCGGCCGGUCAAAGGCCCCUGGAAUGUAACGCCUCUCGGGGCGUCUUAUAGCCAGGGGUGCCAUGCGGCCUGCCCGGACCGAGGAACGCGCUUCGGCUCGGACGCUGGCAUAAUGU
rnacentral:rRNA from 1 species